AUGGCCAGCUUGAGGAUCGAAGACCCGCUUCACCGGUGGCCUGCCGCGGUAUGGCGAAGCCCGGACACCAACACCUUCCCGGCAACAACAAGUGAAAGGAGUAGUUGGAAGCUGUCGGUCCCCAAGCCGUUUUUCCAUUGCCAAGAGGAGCGGUACGUGGUAGAUGACCGCCUCACCAUCCUCUGCGUCGUCCAUGUCCUCCGGCUGGACGUCACCCUCCCAAAUACCAGGAGCUGCUUCAUCUCGGUCGUGCCGCCGCCAACCAUCUCCGGAGAUCUCCUCAUGCUUCUUUUUGCGUCGAUGUCUAAAUCAGAUUCCGUGAAGCACGCCAUGAGGCCAGACGUGACGUUCAUCGUGGGGCAGACCAAGAUCCGGGCGCAUAAGCUUGUCCUUGCCGUGCGGUCGCCGGUUUUCGCGGCGGAGUUUCGAUGGCACAUGAAUGAGAGUAUCAUAAUCAGGGUCGACGACGACGACAUGAGCGCCUCCACUUUCAGGGCCAUGCUCCGCUUCAUCUACACCGAUGAGCUUCCCAUCAAACCAAACAACGACCGCAUGAUACUAACAAGCGAAGAUAAGCACGCGGCAAGGCUCUACGAGGCCAUGGUGCGCGACCUGCUGGUAGCCGCCGAUAGGUAUGACUUACAAAGGCUAAGGCUCUUGGGCGAGAAGGUACUAGCUGAGGGCAUGGAUGAUAAGUCUGUCAUACCUACACUGAUGGUGGUGCACGGUAGGUACAGUUGUCGGCAGCUCGAGGAUUUAUGCAUCGAGUACAUAGCGUCCCAUCCAAAUGUUUAUAGUGACCUGAAGGCAACCGAGGAGUAUAACGAAAUCAAGAAUAGUUGCUUCUCUUUCCUACUCGAGGUCACCGACAAAGUAGACAUGAUCGAUAUGGCUCCAAAGGCAAGCUCCAGCAAUCUCCAGUCCCACAAAAGAAAGCGAAAUGAUGGAGGUCAGGUGGUAGUCCACGGCUCACACAAGUUUACGAUCCCCUACUUUAGGGCCGUUCAGAGGAGCCUGCUUGCUGUUGGCAAAAAUACCAUUUGUUCUGGCAUUUUUCAGGUUGGCGGCUACAAUUGGCAGCUAUGUGUACGGUGGUUAUACCCAUCCAAUUCUUCGGAAUUUGUUGUGUAUCUCUGUGUGGUGAGUAGUUUUGAAACUUCCCAUGUCACUACGUCAAUUGGCUUCAAGAUAGAUGACCCUAGUGGCAUGUCCUUGCCGCCAAUAACAAUGGUAGAAGAAAUUUUUACCGAGGCAGAAUACUUCAGGCAUGCAAAGUUCACCCUCAUGAAAUCAACCAACUCCUCACAUGAUGACUCCCUCACUAUACACUGCCAUCUCAAUGUCACCAAGGAGGCUGCUUGCACUAGUUCUAGCACCAUCUCCGAUGGUGCCGGAGUCACGGUCGUUGUGCCUCCACCCUACAUCGGUUUGCACCUUGAGCAGUUGUUGCUUGGUGGGCAAAGGUCUGAUGUGAGGUUCCUGGUUGAGGAGUGUGACAUCCGUGCUCAUGGGCUCGUAAUCGCGGCUCGAUCACCAGUCCUAUACCAAGUGGUUGAAGCGGCGGCGGCCAAGGUGGACAAUCAUCACAUCGUACGGGUCGACGACAUGAAGGCAGCAGUCUUCAGGUCUGUUCUCCACUUCAUCUACACCGACAAGCUGCCCUCUAUAGAUAACCCAGUCCUUGCCGUUGAAGACAUGCUCGCGGCAGCCUGCCGAUUCGGUCUCGAGAGGUUGAAGAUUGCGUGCGAGAACUUUUUCGCUGACCACAUCUCGAAUAAGAAUGCAUUGUGCACGUUGAAACUGGCGCAACGUCACCACUGCUUGGAACUAGAAAAAUACUGUGUCAAGUUCAUCUCUACAUGA
rnacentral:rRNA from 1 species